UACAGAGGGGACAAGCGUUGCUCGGAAUCACUGGGCGUAAAGGGCGCGUAGGCGGUCCGCCAAGUCGGUCGUGAAAUCUCCGGGCUCAACCCGGAGGAGUCGGCCGAAACUGGUGUUCUUGAGGGAGGCAGAGGAGUCUGGAAUUCCCGGUGUAGCGGUGAAAUGUGUAGAGAUCGGGAGGAACACCGGUGGCGAAGGCGGGGCUCUGGGCCUACCCUGACGCUGAGGCGCGAAGGCGUGGGGAGCAAACGGG
rnacentral:rRNA from 1 species